AACUGAUACUACCUGCGGGAACCUGCGGAAGGAUCAUUACAGAGUUUUCUAAACUCCCAAACCCAUGUGAACUUACCAUUGUUGCCUCGGCGGAGCCUACCCUGUAGCUACCCUAUAAGGUGGUUACCCUGUAGCGCCCCGCCGGUGGAUUUUCAAACUCUUGUUAUUUAUAGUAAUCUGAGAGUCUUAUUUUAAAUAAGUCAAAACUUUCAACAACGGAUCUCUAGAUCGGAAGAGCAC
rnacentral:misc_RNA from 1 species